rnacentral:ncRNA from 2 species
UUGAUGCCCUGGGGGAGUAUUUACUGAGAGUUCUGCACAAAAAAAGCAGGAUGACCCUUAGAACCUGAUCCGGACAAUACCGGCGGAGGGAAGCGGCGCUGAAACGAU